rnacentral:rRNA from 1 species
AUUGAACGCUGGCGGCAGGCCUAACACAUGCAAGUCGAACGAGUGGCGGACGGGUGAGUAAUGUCUGGGAAACUGCCUGAUGGAGGGGGAUAACUACUGGAAACGGUAGCUAAUACCGCAUACCAUCAGAUGUGCCAAGAUGGGAGUAGCUAGUUGGGGGGGUAACGGCGCACCAAUGCGACGCUCCCUAGCUGGUCUGAGAGGAUGACCAGCCACACUGGAAGUGAGACACGGUCCAAAGUCCUACGGGCGGCAGCAGUGGGGAAUAUGGAACAAUGGGCGCUAGCCUGAUGAAGCCAUACCGAGGGUAUGAAGAAGGCCUUCGGGUUGUAAAGUACUUGCAGCGGGGAGGCGUUACCCGCAGAAGAAGCACCGGCUAACUCCGUGCCAGCAGCCGCGGUAAUAC